AAGAAAUUGCCUAAAGCCAGCACCUAUCACUCUUUCUGUAGAAAUAACUUUGCUUAUCAGAAGACCCUCAAACCAGUGAAGAACCCGUCAGUGUGGGCUGCAGCUGACCACCCACCCGAGCCUUACCUGGCCUCUGUGUUGGGACAAGUUGGCUGCGUUGGACACUAUGCUGAAGAGCCUGGGUCAUGCUGAUGGACAACUACAGCCCCCCAGUUCCUCCGCACACACAACCGCCCCAGGCCGCAGGCUGUCACAGCAAAGGGCUGGAUUAGAGUAGCCCGAGAGUGCCCUGGAAAUGACGACGCCUGUCCCAAGUGCUCUCAAAUCAGUGACUCAAAGAAGUCUUCCAUCUC